UACGUAGGGACCGAGCGUUGUCCGGAAUCACUGGGCGUAAAGGGUGCGUAGGCGGGAUCUUAAGUCAGAGGUGAAAGCCUGGAGCUCAACUCCAGAACUGCCUUUGAUACUGGGAUUCUUGAGUUCGGAAGAGGUAAGUGGAACUGCGAGUGUAGAGGUGAAAUUCGUAGAUAUUCGCAAGAACACCAGUGGCGAAGGCGGCUUACUGGUCCGAUACUGACGCUGAGGCACGAAAGCGUGGGGAGCAAACAGG
rnacentral:rRNA from 1 species